rnacentral:rRNA from 1 species
GGUUAAGCGACUAAGCGUACACGGUGGAUGCCCUGGCAGUCAGAGGCGAUGAAGGGCGUGCUAAUCUGCGAUAAGCGCCGGUAAGGUGAUAUGAACCGUUAUAACCGGCGAUACCCGAAUGGGGAAACCCAGUGUGAUUCGUCACACUAUCAUUACGUGAAUACAUAGCGUAAUGAAGCGAACCGGGGGAACUGAAACAUCUAAGUACCCCGAGGAAAAGAAAUCAACCGAGAUUCCCCCAGUAGCGGCGAGCGAACGGGGAGGAGCCCAGAGCCUGAAUCAGCAUGUGUGUUAGUGGAAGCGUCUGGAAAGGCGCGCGAUACAGGGUGACAGCCCCGUACACAAAAGCGCAUGUGUUGUGAGCUCGAUGAGUAGGGCGGGACACGUGGUAUCCUGUCUGAAUAUGGGGGGACCAUCCUCCAAGGCUAAAUACUCCUGACUGACCGAUAGUGAACCAGUACCGUGAGGGAAAGGCGAAAAGAACCCCGGCGAGGGGAGUGAAAAAGAACCUGAAACCGUGUACGUACAAGCAGUGGGAGCACCCUUUGGGGUGUGACUGCGUACCUUUUGUAUAAUGGGUCAGCGACUUAUAUUCUGUAGCAAGGUUAACCGAAUAGGGGAGCCGGAGGGAAACCGAGUCUUAAUUGGGCGUUAAGUUGCAGGGUAUAGACCCGAAACCCGGUGAUCUAGCCAUGGGCAGGUUGAAGGUUGGGUAACACUAACUGGAGGACUGAACCGACUAAUGUUGAAAAAUUAGCGGAUGACCUGUGGCUGGGGGUGAAAGGCCAAUCAAACCGGGAGAUAGCUGGUUCUCCCCGAAAGCUAUUUAGGUAGCGCCUCGUGAAUUCAUCUCCGGGGGUAGAGCACUGUUUCGGCUAGGGGGCCAUCCCGGCUUACCAACCCGAUGCAAACUGCGAAUACCGGAGAAUGUUAUCACGGGAGACACACGGCGGGUGCUAACGUCCGUCGUGAAGAGGGAAACAACCCAGACCGCCAGCUAAGGUCCCAAAGUCAUGGUUAAGUGGGAAACGAUGUGGGAAGGCCCAGACAGCCAGGAUGUUGGCUUAGAAGCAGCCAUCAUUUAAAGAAAGCGUAAUAGCUCACUGGUCGAGUCGGCCUGCGCGGAAGAUGUAACGGGGCUAAACUAUGCACCGAAGCUGCGG